GCUCGCAUAACUCAGUUGGUAGAGUGUUACCUCGACAAGGUAAAAGUCACUGGUUCGAGUCCAGUUGUGAGCACCA
rnacentral:tRNA from 15 species